UGGUCAUGCCUUCAACACCAUUAUCAAUGGAGGUACUCGGCUAUGCUAAGGGGAAACCUUAGGCGCUGGUCGCCAAUAGCAUGGCGUGAGGGGAGGUUAAAUGCCUC
rfam:Bacillus sp. JCM 19045 DNA, contig: contig00007.